AUNGAACGCUGGCGGCAGGCCUAACACAUGCAAGUCGAGCGCGAAAGCACUUCGGUGUGAGUAAAGCGGCGGACGGGUGAGUAACGCGUAGGAAUCUACCUAGUAGUGGGGGACAACUCGGGGAAACUCGAGCUAAUACCGCAUACGCCCUACGGGGGAAAGCGGGGGACCUUCGGGCCUCGUGCUAUUAGAUGAGCCUGCGUUGGAUUAGCUAGUUGGUGGGGUAAUGGCCUACCAAGGCGACGAUCCAUAGCUGGUCUGAGAGGAUGAUCAGCCACACCGGGACUGAGACACGGCCCGGACUCCUACGGGAGGCAGCAGUGGGGAAUAUUGCGCAAUGGGCGAAAGCCUGACGCAGCCAUGCCGCGUGUGUGAAGAAGGCCUUCGGGUUGUAAAGCACUUUCAAUUGGGAGGAAAGGUUCACGGCUAAUACCCGUGAGCUGUGACGUUACCUUUAGAAGAAGCACCGGCUAACUCCGUGCCAGCAAAG
rnacentral:rRNA from 1 species